rnacentral:rRNA from 1 species
GACGAACGCUGGCGGCGUGCUUAACACAUGCAAGUCGAACGAUGAACCCGGAGCUUGCUCCGGCGGAUUAGUGGCGAACGGGUGAGUAACACGUGAGUAACCUGCCCUUGACUCUGGGAUAACUGCUAGAAAUGGUAGCUAAUACCGGAUACGACCCUCGGUGGCAUCACCAGGGGGUGGAAAGAAUUUCGGUCAAGGAUGGACUCGCGGCCUAUCAGCUAGUUGGUGAGGUAACGGCUCACCAAGGCGACGACGGGUAGCCGGCCUGAGAGGGUGACCGGCCACACUGGGACUGAGACACGGCCCAGACUCCUACGGGAGGCAGCAGUGGGGAAUCUUGGACAAUGGGCGCAAGCCUGAUCCAGCAAUGCCGCGUGAGUGAGGAAGGCCCUAGGGUUGUAAGGCUCUUUCGGCGGGGACGAUGAUGACGGUACCCGCAGAAGAAGCCCCGGCUAACUUCGUGCCAGCCGCCGCCGUAA